UACGUUCCCGGGCCUUGUACACACCGCCCGUCACACCACGAAAGUCGGCAACACCCGAAGCCGGUGGCCUAACCCUUGUGGGAGGGAACCGUCGAAGGUGGGGUUGAUGAUUGGGGUG
rnacentral:rRNA from 1 species